CUCCUAGGGUUAACAUCCUGACAGCUAUUGCCGCGGUGUGAUAAGAACUGGAACCGGGAACUCUUGUGUUGGAACUUCAUUGUUUUUUCGUCCCACGCAACAACUAAUUGCGCUGAAUUUGAAGUAGAUUUUUGUGAAACUUUUUUUUUAGUUUUUGUUAAGCAAUUUUGAAAAAUAAUUUUGGUUAAAUUAAAAAUCCAAGUUCAAAUUGCACAAAAAUCUUCUUUAGAUACAGCGCCCAAAAGUGUACGCUGCUCCCCAUAGACCAAAAACUGGUCCACGCUGUGACGACAGCCCUGCAGCAACUGGAUGCUGCUGCGUGUUUCCUUUCACCAAGUUGUGCCUGUUAUUCCUUCGCCAAGUGGUUUCUUCUUGUUCUGAGAUUCUGCACGCUUGCUGUGAUGGCUUUAUACCCUCUUGGGGUUCUUGGCAGCUCCCGACAGGAUUUUCUACUCGAUUGAAUAAUAGAUUUAGUGCACUUUGACUAUCCCGGUAUCAAGAUAUCCCGGGCAACAAAGAAUCCGUUGAACUCAACUCGGAGCACGAACUAUAAAAAGCCGCGUCUGUUCGAAGUUCACCAUCAGUUGUUCAACAAAGUUCGAGCUCUUUCAAGCAUCCUCCCAAACAAACUCAAGAUGUUCAAAUUCGUCAUCGUCGUCCUGGCCCUCAUCGCCUCUGCGCUGGCCGUUCCGAAGCCGGUGCUACUGGCGGCCGCUCCCUCCUAUUCGUACACCGAGCGCUUUGAUAAGCCGGCACUGAGCUAUUACUCGGCACCCCUGCCCAGCUACUACCCUGCUGCCCCGGCACCGUACCUGCACACUCCACUGGCCUACAGUGCCCCCGUGGCAGCCUAUCCCGCUGAGUAUGCGCUGCUGUGAGAUGAGGAAGGAUAAAGACACGGGAUGGACAAAGGAAUUGAGAUUGGAAGACGUUCUGGAAUAUUUGUGAUGAUUUUGAAUAAACGGUGGUUCAAAAUGUA